AUGGCUCAGGAUGAACGCUGGCGGCGUGCCUAACACAUGCAAGUCGAACGGAAACCAGACGCUUCGGAGACUUCGGUCAAUGUUGUUGGUUUAGUGGCGGACGGGUGAGUAACGCGUGGAUAACCUGCCUCAUACAGGGGGAUAACAGUUAGAAAUGACUGCUAAUACCGCAUAAGCGCACGGGAUCGCAUGUUCCUGUGUGAAAAACUCCGGUGGUAUGAGAUGGAUCCGCGUCUGAUUAGCUAGUUGGCGGGGUAACAGCCCACCAAGGCGACGAUCAGUAGCCGGCCUGAGAGGGUGAACGGCCACAUUGGGACUGAGACACGGCCCAAACUCCUACGGGAGGCAGCAGUGGGGGAUAUUGCACAAUGGGGGAAACCCUGAUGCAGCCGACGCCGCGUGAGUGAAGAAGUAUUUCGGUAUGUAAAGCUCUAUCAGCAGGGAAGAUAAUGACGGUACCUGACUAAGAAGCACCGGCUAAAUACGUGCCAGCCGCCGC
rnacentral:rRNA from 1 species